UACGGGGGGAGCAAGCGUUGUUCGGAUUUACUGGGCGUAAAGGGCGCGUAGGCGGCGUGACAAGUCACUUGUGAAAUCUCCGGGCUUAACCCGGAACGGUCAAGUGAUACUGUCGUGCUAGAGUACAGAAGGGGCAACUGGAAUUCUCGGUGUAGCGGUGAAAUGCGUAGAUAUCGAGAGGAACACCUGCGGCGAAGGCGGGUUGCUGGGCUGAUACUGACGCUGAGGCGCGAAAGCCAGGGGAGCGGACGGG
rnacentral:rRNA from 1 species